CGGACGGGUGAGUAAUGUCUGGGAAACUGCCCGAUGGAGGGGGAUAACUACUGGAGACGGUAGCUAAUACCGCAUAACGUCGCAAGACCAAGGAGGGGGACCUUCGGGCCUCUUGCCAUCGGAUGUGCCCAGAUGGGAUUAGCUAGUAGGUGGGGUAAAGGCUCACCUAGGCGACGAUCCCUAGCUGGUCUGAGAGGAUGACCAGCCACAUUGGAACUGAGACACGGUCCAA
rnacentral:rRNA from 1 species